rnacentral:rRNA from 1 species
AUUGAACGCUGGCGGCAGGCCUAACACAUGCAAGUCGAGCGGAGCGGCGGACGGGUGGGUGAGGCCUAGGUAUCUGACUGGUCGUGAGGGAUGAGGUCCGGAAACGGACGCUAAUACCACAUACUAUCAGAUGCACCUAGGUCGGAUUAGCUAGUUGGUGGGGUAAAGGCCUACCAAGGCGACGAUCCGUCACUGGUCUGAGAGGCGGAUCAGCCACACUGGAACUGAGACACGGUCCAGACUCCUACGGGAGGCAGCAGUGGGGAAUAUUGGACAAUGGGCGAAAGCCUGAUGCAGCCAUGCCGCGUGUGUGAAGAAGGUCUUCGGAUUGUAAAGCACUUUAAGUUGGGAGGCGGUACCAACAGAAUAAGCACCGGCUAACUUCGUGCCAGCAGCCGCGGUAAUUC